rnacentral:rRNA from 1 species
UACGUAGGGCGCAAGCGUUGUCCGGAAUUAUUGGGCGUAAAGAGCUCGUAGGCGGCUUGUCACGUCGGGUGUGAAAGCCCGGGGCUUAACCCCGGGUCUGCAUUCGAUACGGGCUAGCUAGAGUGUGGUAGGGGAGAUCGGAAUUCCUGGUGUAGCGGUGAAAUGCGCAGAUAUCAGGAGGAACACCGGUGGCGAAGGCGGAUCUCUGGGCCGAUACUGACACUGAGGAGCGAAAGCGUGGGGAGCGAACAGG